UACGUAGGGUGCGAGCGUUGUCCGGAAUUACUGGGCGUAAAGAGCUCGUAGGUGGUUUGUCGCGUUGUUCGUGAAAACUCACAGCUUAACUGUGAGCGUGCGGGCGAUACGGGCAGACUUGAGUACUGCAGGGGAGACUGGAAUUCCUAGUGUAGCGGUGGAAUGCGCAGAUAUCAGGAGGAACACCGGUGGCGAAGGCGGGUCUCUGGGCAGUAACUGACGCUGAGGAGCGAAAGCGUGGGGAGCGAACAGG
rnacentral:rRNA from 1 species